CAGAGGUUACCUAUCCAAUCAAAGUUAAUAUUACAUUGGAAACUAAGUAUUGCAGAGGAGGUAACAUCACAGGAUGAUUCUUCAUCAAAAUAAUUUCACAGAAACUAGUCCCAUACCUUGAUUAAACAGGAGAAUAGCUAUUAAACUAUUUUAUUAACACCAGCAAAAGCUGAUUCAAGGUCAGCAGGGACAAACAAACACUCCUCCAGGAAAAAAAGUGAAAACUAUUGUUUCAAAGAACAAGAACUGUGCUUUGAUAAGAGAAGACAUUCUUUCAUUAACAUACAUGGUCAUGUCUUCGAUGAAAAAUAAAUAAAUAAUUUUUCUUGUUAAGGCCACAUCCAUGGCAUUUUGAAGUUCCUAGGCUAGGGGUCAAAUCUGAACUGCAGCUGCUGGCCUCCACCACAGCCACAACAACAUGGGAUCCGAACCACAUCUAUGACCUAGGGCACAGCUUAAGGCAACACUGGAUCCCCAAUCCAAUGAGCAGGGCCAGGGAUCGAAUCUGCAUCCUCAAGAUAUUGGACAGAAGUCCAUGCUUCUUUAUCCUGCUCCCACUUUGGAGAACAGCAAGUAGUAAUGGCCUCUUGGCUAAAGCCCAGGAUACUGCAAAAGGGGAGAGACUGCUAUGAAAGAAAUGAUGAUUUCUCAAGGAAAUUGUUAGCAUUAUCAGAGUGAGGGACUGAAAAAGGGUAUGUGGAGUAUAUAUAUAAAUCCCAUGGCCGGAGAGCCUGGUUGGAAAUGAAGGCAACUCACAUGCAAAGCCAUCUCCCUGCAAAGACCUAAGGCUUAGGGAGCUUUCCUCUCAGAUAGAAAAUUGAGUUGAUUUUAUCUGUUAUCUUUUUUUCUACAAUAUUAUAACAUACCUCUGAAAUUACCCUAGCCUUUCAGUAAAUAAUUUUGCAUGUCCUUAUAAACUCUAGCCAGUGAGACCUUGAGAUUGAAAUAAGUUGUAGGAAGAAACAGGGAAAAUACUAUUAAGAGUAAAAGGGGAUUGUACCUCUCAGAUGGCCCAGAGUUGACAGGCAUUAGUUAGUAAGGACCCUGGACCCUGCAGUCUUGUUCUGCAGGGAACAGCAUGAAAUUAUUCCCAUGUCUGGUGAAGGCAGCUUUUGCAAGAGGGCCUCACUGACCUCUAGGCUACAUCUGCAAGACUUAAAAUCCAGCUUUGAAAGGGCAUUGUGUAAUUGCUAUUGCUAUAAUCCUUUAUGUCUGUUUGCUAUUGCAUUCAUUUCUAUUAAUAUUGUACUUGCAAAACGGUGAGACCCAAAAAUGAUGGGAAACAAAUGCCCGUUCUUCCAACAGAAAAUACUUUAUAGACCCAUUUGCCCUUGGCUGAGAAGAAAGUGGCUUUCAGAAAGAGUUCUCGAUUCUCUAUUUUGUUUAAUUGCUUCAUGUUAACUGCAAUGUAUGCACAUGUCUGUGGGCUUGUAUGUUUUACAAAACUAGGAUGAAUCAGUGAAGGAAAUAAUCAAGAAAAACACAAAAAGGAGCUACCAUUUCAUGUCUCUUGUUAGAUGAAUUCAAUGUUUCAACCAUACAGUCCUAUCUCAAACUGGAGUACGUAAAAAAAAAAUUUUUUUUAAGGCUCAGAAAUUUUAGAUAAUAUGCUCAAAUCCAUGUAACCAUAUAGGGAAGGUCUCAGAUUGAAACUGAGGUCUGAGUCCAAACUCUGUGCUAGUUCUACUACUGCUUGAAUGUGUAUUGGAAACUGUGGACAUAAAAUAUCCCAUGAAGGUAGGCUCUCAUGAAUUUAUCUUCAGACAGAUUUUCAGGAAACAGAGAAGAGAGGUUUGGAGCUAGCUUGGGGCGUAAAAUGAUUUCUGACAGAUGUAUAUAUACAGCUAUCCCAGCCUCCCUCCUGACUAGGGCAUGUUUGAACUCCACAGCAAAUACCUUUAACAAAAGCAUUCCAGAUCCUGGCAAGCUCUUCCCUCAAGCAAACCAAUCCUUACUAAAAGAACUGCAGGGGCUGGUCUCACCUAGGAGAGACCAAGUCAUCAGAUUCUAGAGCCUGAGACAGGUAUGAGAGUGUCUAGAGCAGUUCUGUCCCCACAUCUUUUCAUGAGGCAUGGAAGGUGUCACACAACUCUUACAGUUAAGAAUAUUUAAUGACCAUCCACCAGCAUUCUGGGGAUUAUUAACAUGCAAAUCAUUGUUCACAUGUUCCCAUCAACAGCCAAUUGGCAAAAACCAGAUGUGAUGGGAAACCAGAAGACAACAAACAAGGUUUCUAAAUAAAAGACUUGGGGGAGGUUGGGAUCUGCAUGUGCAGGGUGAAGGGCAGUUCCCAGGGAGAAGCCAGCAGUGCACCAUUGUGUUCUCAUUUUUCCAGUACGCAACUUCAGAGGUCAGCGGAACACUGCCCAUUAUUCCUGGGAUCUCUGCUCUAUUCACCGCGGACUUUCCACAGGCUGAGCCCAGAGAUCAGGGAGGUUAUUCAGGAGAAGUGAUGGUUAACAGCCAAGGCUCCACGCCAGUCUGGAAAGCAGUUCAGGAGAGAUUUUCUCCAAUAGUUCCACAAAGAAAUUAUGGAUCCCUAGUGUAUCAUAUUCUCAAAAAGAAUCAGUGUAGGGAUUAUGAAAUGUGCAUGCCAUGAAAUGCUUCACCUGCUCACAUGACUCUACUUGAGUGGUUAGUAUGUGCCAGGCAUUCUGCUAGGUGCUUCUUGUGCUAUAUAAUACCUAAACUUCACAGAAAAAAGAAAAAAAAAAACCCUCAAGAGGCUCUUAUUAUUCUCGUUUUAACAAUAAGGAAACUAUAUCUCAGAAUGGUUAAGAAUCAGCAAAAAGAACUAGUUAGUGGUGUGACUGGGUUUUUAACGCAGGUUAGUUUGAUUCCAAAGCCAGUAUAUGUCCCAUUAACAGAACAGCUUCUUGCUAGUGGGGAACUGCAGGGGACUGUGGAGUUGCUGGAAUUAUCUUCAAGUUUUGUAUUAAAAACCUUUAAGCCAAAGAAAUUAAUCUGUAGUUGUGCAGUUUCAAGCAGCAGUGACCAGAGAGUAUUUCAAAACUAGUAAGGGAUAUUCUUAAUAACCCUAAGAAUGAAGCUAGCCAGGUCUGGGGGCUGAAUCUCCUGGUGUAUAUUAGCUACACCCAGAAGAUAGUAAGUUUUGGGCCAAGUGUUUGCACAUAGAGAAACACACACACACAUAUAUGUAUGUAUGUACAUUUUUUCUUUCAAAAGCCUAUUCCCACUCCUCUCUUAAAGGAGAGUGGCUGGCUCUCACCCCAGGGAAAUUUUGAGCCUCCUCCACAUGGUUGCAUUGGGCUUCCCCUAAUUGAGCCAUCCUCCCACCCCACCUGUUUCCUCUCAGCAAUCAGUGGAGUCCAUGGUUCUGACCUCAGGGGAUCCGACCACUCCAUAUCCCCAUCUUGGAUGAAAGGACAUUCUGAGCACCUGUCCUUUUCUCCUUUGUGUUGCCGGUGUCACAGAAGGAUUAGAAGUCCUUGCAGAGGUGAACGGACUUAUUGUCCUUAUGUUCAAGCCAUACCAGAUAUCCAAGCACCAAACAUGCCUCACAGUUCAAUUCCUCAGCCUCUGUAUACAGGGUUUCUUUCCAGUUGGUGCCCAAAGUCUCUGCCUCCAUCAAAUGAAAAGCAAAUAUUCAUUUUCUUUUUAAGCAUCAAACCAUCCAUUUUCUACUGCUCAAUUAGAGAACUAGGCUGAGAGCUGUGACCCAAGCCAAGUCUUUGGGAUCCGCAAUGGGGCAGAUUUAAAAAACACAAAACAAAAAAAAAAAACAAAAAACUCAGAAGACUGCCAUCAAACUGGAUGACAAAAUGCAGAAAACACUUUUCUAUCUACUAUUACACUCUGUGGUAGGGAAAAAUAGGGUGAUUUAAUUUGGCGAUUGAAUUUUCUCUGAUAACCAGGGACUGGGGAUCAUUUUCCAGCUGGCUUCAUGAAUGUGUAUCAUACCUAGAAAUGUGGCAGCUUGAGGUCUGCUCAUUAAUUUAUAUAUAAGUUUUUACUGGGAAAUUUAUUACUCUGACCUAUUGCUUUAUGGCCUUAACAUUUUUAGGAAUCAUAUCUGGAAAAAAUGUUUAAGUGUUAUAAUAUGGGUGAAUAUUACACAAAACACCAGGCUCAAAAGUUUAAAAUAACAACAGCUAACAAUUAUUUAGCACUUACUACAUGCCAGACACUGUUGUAUGCACUUCAAAGAGGUAUUUAUAUAUGCCUCCCAACAACCUAAUGGGCGGGUGCUGUAAUUAUCCCCAUGCUGUAGAUUAGGAAGCUGAGGCACACAGAGGUUAAAUGUGUGGCCUAAGGUCAUGGCCAGUUGGGAUUCUAAGCCUGGCAUCCAAGCCUUAGAGUUCUUGUUCUUAAUGUUACAUACUUCACAACUUCAAUUUUUAGAUCCUCCAACAUUAAACUACAAUUAGUUUUGUUUCUGCAAACAUGUCACAGAGCCUAAUGAUACCCAAGUAAGUAUUAGCAACAAGGAGGGCAGACUGAAUAAGGUUUGUUCAUGCAUUCACUCUGUACUUCAGUAAAUAUUACCCAUUGGCAGUUCCAGGCCAGGUAUACAAGAGGCAAAAACAAGAAAACACAGUUUUGGUUCCAAGAAACUCAACUAAGUGGUGGAACUUCAAGAAGCCGAAAAUUAAUAACCAAUCACCGAUUUCCACUUCCUCUCUUCUUGUCGCCUACCUCCAACCCCAUUUGACUCUAACAUGUAAGACCAUGGGGACUGGGGCGGUGGGAGGGGGGAGACUUCAUAGAAAAAGAACCCAAUUACUAUUACCGUACCAACUUUAAUGCAAAUUCUGAUCCAAACACACAUUUAUUGACAGGUUGGUCUCAUUUAUACUGGAUUUGCACUCAGUAUUCUAUUCAUAGGAACUUGCAAGAGAAGCAUUGUUAGCUAUCAUUUUUCAGAGAAGGAAGCUCAAGUGAGUUGGAUGGCUUACCAAGGUUACAAGAGGUCACAGAUCCAGAAUUCACCUAAAGGUAAAAUCCCAACUCUUUCUACCAGGCUGCCAUGUCUCCUCUCACAUGUCCAUAUAUGUCCAGUCCCUUUUCCUGACUAUGGUUUUGGCUUUGAACACCUGCUUCCUUCCCUUCCUUGGUAAGACUGAACAAACUCCUGUGGUAUAGUGUAUGUAACAUUGAAAUCAACUGACCUGGAAGGAAAAUGGCAAAACUCCUUUGCCAGCCUGAAACAGCAGCACCCUCUUCUCUCAUCUGAAGCCCACUCUGGCCCUCUUUGAGAUUUCCAAAGCCAAAUGCACCUCCCCAACAGUGGGUAGCCUCAGCAAGACCUGAGUCUAUGUGGGAAGUACGUGUUUCUGUGUGUGUGAGAAGAGGGAUUAACCCUUCUGCCUUCAGCAUGGGGUUUGAUUUCAUAUCCUCUCACCUCUUGAACCCCAGACCACCACACAACACAAGCUGGCUCCCCAAGCACCCUGUCCUCCUUCACAGAUUGGACUUGUAGCCACCAGCUGCCUCUCUGAGGGGCCGGGGACAGUGAAGACCGUGAGGGCCAGCCCACCACACCUCUUCCCUUCUCAAGUUGAAUAAUGGAGGCUGGCUUUCCUUUGGGGGCUGCUCACUGUGAAUUUCCAAGUCAUUCCCAAUUUCAACAGCUUUUAUCCAACCCUGGAAUGCACUCAGAAAACAUUAGACUUGUUCAAAUUUCCCACUUAAAUAUGGAAUGAUUGGACUAUAAUCUUCUUUGGCAUAAAAUUCUGUCCUUCGACUACAUUCUUAAUAGCAAUUAGUCUAAUAAUAAAACUGGGAGCAUUAGAGUCUGAGGAUCCAAAAUGAAUGACUGCCUUUAAGAAGGAGAAAGGGAGAGGUCAGUCAUUGCAGAAAGAGUGAGAAAUGGCUCUUGUCCACUGUGUCUUGAACUUGAAUCUUGAACAAUUAAUUCUGCUUUUCACCAUGUUCUGAGUCUCCCUCUGCACGUUUCAGAGAUGUACUGAUUCAGCUUUGUGAAUUUUUGCUUUUACAUACACACUCCCUCAUUCCUCUCAAAGAAAACGUAAUUAUUAGUCCUAACAAUACCUAAGUGCUUGUGAUCAUUGUAGUUACUUCAAAUACAUCACGUAAUCUCAAUAAAUCUGCAGAAUGACAUAAUUAUCCCCAUGUUAAAAAUGAAGACUCUGCACCUCAGCAAUGUCAAAUAACCCACCCAUGUAACAAAUACAUGUACCCAAAGUAAGAGACAGGACUGGUGAUUUAACUAGAAGCCUAUGCUUCUGAACACCUCGGUGUUUCACUGGUCCAGCUGCCAAACAGGACAACUUACUCAAAGUGGCAAGUACAGUGGAAAAGUACAAAGGAAUUGACAGAGGCUGAGCAACUACUAUGUACCUGAUAUUGUCUUUAACAUUUGAUGGGCUUCCAAUAAUGUGAGCUUGCCUGUAUCCGGGUGGCAGCUGCCCCUAAAGCGUUUGUGAUAUGCUAGGCAGGGGAAGAUGCAGGGUUCAGACCAGGUCUGCCUGACUCUCAAGUUAGUGUCCCGUGAUGAAGGAAGUUGUGAUUAGUUUCCAAGCUGACUUUAGGCUGAGAGAGCUGAUAGGUGGAAGGCUCUCUCUUCUCCCACAUUUGUUCCACAUUGACCUCAGAGAGACAGGCUUUACCAUGCUGUUUCUAUGACAAGUGACUAAAUUAUCAUUUUUUGAGAGUAUGCAACUCCUCGUAUAUUGUCAGAAGCUAAAAUGAGCUCAAAUAAAUACUGAUGGAUAACGAAUAAACAUGUAUUUCUGCAAGUCUUGGCAUGUAGUUUUCAUUAAGUGGGUCCCUUGAUGACCUGUAUCAAAUUCAUCUCAUAUACCUAUAUAAAAAUCCAUUCAACAACACAUCUCAGACCUCAUGAGUCACAGUCUCUGAAAUGAAUCUUACCAAUGUCUGCAUUUUAGGAGGUGAUGAUUCCAAAGUAUAUGAAAUUUGUAACCUAUGCCAUGGAACAAGUUAGCUUAGCAAACAUAUUUCCUCUGGGAAGCAGGAGGCGGAAGUAAGCCUAGGGACUCCCCACCAGGGACUGGGCUUACAAAGGGGUUAAGGAGAGCAGUAAGGGGACCUUCUAUGUCAACGUCUAACCUGAUCAGAUGUGCAAACUCUCAAACAUUUUCACUCCAAUAUACUCUUUCUCAGUAACUUACUAGAGGGUGUUUUCCAUUGAAACAAGAAUAAACCA
rnacentral:lncRNA from 1 species